rnacentral:rRNA from 1 species
UGGUCUUAGUGCAGAUCGAGGGCUGCAACCCGCCCUCGUGGAGAUGGAGUUGCUAGUAACGGCGUAUCAGCAAGGCGCCGUGAAUGCGUACCCGGGCCUUGUACACACCGCCCGUCACGUCAUGGGAGUGGGCAAUGCCUGAAGUCCGUGGGCCAACCCGUAAGGGGGGCAGCGGCCGAGGGCAGGGUUCGCGACUGGGACAGAAGUCGUAACAAGGUAGCCGUAGCGGAAGC